UGCAAAGUCGAGCUCAAUCGGUGAUGAAGUACGCGAGUUGGUGGCAAGAAAAAAGUAAAUAAUAAGUGAUAGAAGACACAUAGAUUUUUAAAAUAAAAGGAACGAGAUUUGAAAUUUAGUUUCGAAAUAUUAAAAUUUAAAUGCUGUUUACAGUAAGCGGCUUACUGAAGCUAUUUAUGCUUCAUUAAACUAUAAUUGGCCGAUCAAGCAUACCGAUCGGGAGCCGAAUUUCAUUUGCGAUCGCGUAACGAACGUUUAAUGAGCCACGGGGUUAAGACCUCAACAGAAAUACGCGAUAGUCGUUAUCGCCACAAGCCGAUGGCGCUCGCAGUUCGGUCCAACCGGUGCUGGGGUGCACUGCUUGGGCAAUAAUCGGGCAGUUGGGCCAGCUGGCCGGUGCUGCGGUGGCGGUUUUGUCUCGUGUAAGCUGCUCGAUAUUACUAUAAAAUUGCUUUUUGGUUUUCACACGUGAUAGCUUCAAAUGCGGUAUCAAUAUCGGAUAAUACAAGUAUACUACUGGAACAUUGGUGAUAUUGAUGGAGGCAACACUACGGAACUUAGAAACUCUGUCGCAAUGUGCAAGGCAAACAAGUCUAUAACGGAAGCGCAAAGGGUGUAACGGAAGUGAAGACAAGAUUGGGUCGAUAAAGUGAAUACUGGAGUUCAUUAUGGCCAAAGUCAUUAUGCUCAUAAUUGAAUUAAAUCGAAUCAAUAGGCCAAAAUAUGAAGUAGCAACGUUAGCAAAUAAGAAGUGAUGUCCAGGAGUUAUCAGUAUUGUAUAAAUAUUUGAACAAACUUCUAUGCUUCCUCAAUUGAGAUGAAAUUCUUCAAAAUCAGCGAUAUUAGCACUAAGCUUUCUUAUAAGGAAAUACAGCGUACACAAUGGUUCUCUUUAAUGCAGAAAAUAAUUAAUUUCAAUGUAUUAUUUGUGGUUCUUUACAUAUUAACCCAACUGAAAUAAGGUACCAGAUACAGCGUACUAAAAAGGAACACCCUAAUGCAAUUACUCAUAUUUCAACAUGGAAAUUUAUUAAGAGAAAAACAUAUGCAUGGAAUCGUAUGUGAUGAGUUGAGCUGAGUUUUCAUUUAGAUACAUAUUUUAUGUGCAAUAUUCAUAUAAAUUAAUAUUAGUUUGAACCGGCUGCAAAGCUCAAAGCUUAAAAUUUUUGUCAACAAAUGUUCUGUUCUGUUCUUUUAGAAUAAAUAAAAACCCACUAAGCAGAAUUAGUCUUUUAAAAAUCCUAAAAGCCAUAGAAAGCUGAAAGCCGAAACCUCAAGAUGUUGACAUUUGAGCUGAGCUUAGGCUCGCUGCAGAAGUGCUCACUGCGCAACAUGGCCUACAUUCGGGAGUGCUUGUCUUUUUGCUUGAACAGAGUGCCAUUGCAUGCACGCCUGCAAGUGAGGUUUUCAUAAAAAUACACACGGCACAUAUACGGUGUAUAUAUGUAGUAUAUAUACUAAUUCUGUGCAUUUGGAUUUGGAUAUGGCUGCGUGUGUUCUGCACAUAUAUUUACAAGCAUUUAUUUAUGUAUUCCACUGUUGUCGGCUUUACAUGCUUGAUGACAAAAUGCGAAAUGCAAAAAUCGCUCAAAGUUCCGUGUACUGAUUCCGACCACCGAGCACAAAGCAAAAUUUGAGUAGCCAGCCUUGUAGGAGGGAGGAGGAACGGGGAGUGCCGAGUGUAUAAAUAAUGCUACCAGCAUAACAAAAGCCAGGACAAUGUAUACACAGCAGCUUAAUAAGAAAACAGACAACAAGUGCCGCUGCUGUAAGCGCAUAAAUGCAAAUGUGCAAAUGUGUGUGUGAAGUAAGCAAAAGCGGGCUCUUAAGCCAAACAACCCGCAAAUGUUGGCAUAAAGCUCAAAAGCAACGCAAACUUCACUCUGUUGAUACACUAAACUCUCGGCUCCAACAAUUCGCCAAUCCUUUUCUUAGCCGCUGCAAACAGACAUCACUAGCAGCACGCAUGCCUACAUCAACGCACACUCAUACACUUGUAAUAUUGUGUGUAAGGCAGCUGCAAAUACAUAUAUUAGCAUGACAUCUUACAUAAACAAACUCGUACUUUGGCGCAGCAACAUUAAGUCUGCAACGUAACAUAAUGCUUUGAUUGUUUCUUUUUUGUGGUUUGCGUAGAAUGAAGUAUAAUUGACGUGCCAAACGCAUGCUUUGCUUUAAGACGAUGUGAGCUUGAAGACACCUUCAUCCAUAGGCAGAGGCUACUGUGGAAUUCAUGAGAAAUUUCUGCUUAAUUUCACUUUAAGUGCCGCCCUAAUGAAUAUACGCACUCAUAUACAUACAUACAUAAGUAUGUGGAUAUGAUUCAUGCACAAGUAUGUUACUUUUAACAGUUAACUAACAGCUGACAACACUAUCUACUUUUGUCUUGUCUGCAGCAGAGAACAACGCAUAAAACCAGCACACAACAACAACAACAACAACUGAAAUGGCCAGAAGCCUAUUACAUUGCAUACAAGGCGAGUAACAAUGCAAAAACAUUACCUAAAUGUUUAUUCAAGUUAUUUAACUUAAACUUCAAGUUAAAUUAAGCAAACAAAGACAGCAGCAAAGAAAUGACAGCCUCAGCGGUAGUGAGGGGCAGGUUAAGCUGAACGGCGCAGCUUGAGCAGCAUGCGUAAAGCGCAGCGACAACUUCGGUCGUAAGAAGACACAACAACGCCAACAAAAUGUGCACAGAGCGGCCACAUUAGAGCCAUUAGCUAAGGGAUCUCAAGGUAAAUAUUUAAAGUGGAAACAACAAUAUGUCAACAGCAACAACAACCAUAAAGAGCGCUGUGGACCUAGUAAAGCGAGUACAAAGGACUAACGGCCCUCCAGGAGAGCAAUAACUACUCGAGGGGGAGAGCGGUAGCAAGCCAUGUAUGUACAUGAUAAUAUUAGUAAAACCAACAAUGUGCAAUGUGACUGAAUGCAAGCGCAUGUGUGCCAAAGCAAAGAUCAACGACAACAGAUGAUAACGACCAGGGAAACAAUCAAGCAAGCAGGCUAAGCAAAUCCACAAACUUCGCCGCUUGCCACUGCGUAUACGUAAUGUCUAAUUCACUCAUGAGCCUUACAUGGUGGCUAUGUAAGCCUCAUUGUAUAUAAGCAUAAUACAGUUAUAAACAUGGUGUCCUUAACUGAAACGUGUGUUAGUGUGGGUAGAUGUCUCAAUCAAAAGUUUCUUCCACGCGCACUUUUUGUAAAAAAAUCGAUUUUGCAUUCAAAUAAAUGUACAAAGAAUUGGUCUCUUAGUGUUUGCAUGCUGGAAGAUUAUCAGAAGAUUACAUAUACAUAUAUUAUUGUGCGCGUCGCUUUAAUUCCAUUGCGGUCCACUAUUUCGGGAAAAGUGAAUAUGAUUCGAUUUAGUGAGCACCGUAUACAUUGAAAUAAAUUCAUAUCCCUGGUUACCACAUGCUCAAGGAUCGUUUGAUGCGGAAAUUUCCAGGCUUAUUAAAUUACAUUUUAUGAAUUCCUUAGCGUGUCAGACAUGAAGUUCCAUUCUGAGCGGCACACAAGCACACAUGUAUGUGCAUGCACAAAUGGCAUAAACGGCAUGCGAAUGCCAAUAGAUAGGAUAAGCAUAAUGUGCAGUUAAGUUGCAAACAUUACUCACUUAUGGAAGGCGCCAAGCAGCCACAGACACACAUUUAUGGCUUGCAUUAGCGCUUAAAUGGAAUUGCAAGUUGUGGGCGAAGAAUAUUGCACUCCUGCACACACACACACAUACACACAAAAUAAUAUAAGUAAAAGCACUUGCAAGAAUCAUAAGUAAAUUGGAAUAGUUUGGCUGAACGCCAUUUUAACUCGUUCUACAUCGGAAAAAAUACUGUAGCAAUCUAAAUAAUGUAAGAAUAAUAUCAAAGUGAAAGUUUUGCUAGCAAUUUGUAUUUAAUGCAUAUUUAUUUCAUUAUAUUAUUAAAAUAAACUCAGUUUUGUACCGAGUUGCGAUCUAAAUUUUCCUGUAAACGCUCUCAGUGCAUGUGUUAGCUCCCAGUUUGUGUUAGUGUUAGUGUGAGUAUUUAGUUGGGGAAAAAAUUGUGAAACGCAGCCAAGAGAAACCAUGGCGAUAAGCUGGCAGCACACAAAAGUGCAUACAAGUGUACAUAGAAACUUUGAGAUAGGAAAGUGUGAGUAGUUCGAGCAAACUUUCGAAUGCAAAAUUAAAAGCCAGUUGGUGACUGUUCGCGAAGCCUACUCAAGCAAAAGUAGUAUGAUUUCUGCUUUUAAAAACGCAUGAAAAUUAAAUUUUUUCGUAUAUUGUCAAUAGAUGUCGUCGACCCUGUCAUUGAAAUGUCAAUGAAAUUAUGGAAAAUAUUGACCAGGACCGUCAGAUAAGCAGCCAUAACAUUGCUAAGGAAUUUGACAUUCAUCAUCAAACGGUUUUAUACCAUUUCAAAAGGCUGGCUACAAACAGAACCUCGAUAUUUGGGUACCACGUGAAUCGUCUGUGAAAAAUUUAAUGGACCAAAUUAACAUCUGCGAUUCUUUGCUGAAACAAAAUGAAAUUGAACCAUUUCUGAAGCGAAUGGUAACAUGAGAUGAAAAGUGGAUUAAACAAGACAAAAAUGUGCGAAAAAGAUCAUGCUCUAAGCGUGGUGAAGCUCAACAAAUGGUCGCAAAGCAGGAUUGAUGCCUCGAAAGGUUGUGCUGAGUGUUUGGUGGGAUUGGAAAGGACUCAUCCACUGUGAGCUGUUUCAGCCUAGUAGAUUGAUUUAUUCUACAUUUUACUAUCAAUAACUUAUGAGAUUGAAGGAAGCAAACCAAAAAAA
rnacentral:lncRNA from 1 species